UUGUACUCUUGACUUUUAAUUUUUGUUCCCUUAAUUUCUUUGUUCGAUCUAAUUCUGUCCAAUAAUAGUUUCUAGAAUUGUUAUAAAAAGCAGAGGUGACAGCGGGCAUCCCUGCCUGACACCCUUCUUUAUCUCAAAUGUGUCUGUGAUUUCU